rnacentral:tRNA from 1 species
UGGCGUAAUAGGUGGGCGACUCCACGGCGAUCGCAUCGCCGGGCCUGGCCACCGCCUGCAGGCAGAGAUUGAUCGCCUCGGUCGCGCCGA